GAUUGCAACCGAACCCUAAUAAAACUUAUUAUAUUAUAUUAUUAUGUAUUUUUUCCACUUUUUAUUUUUGCAUCUCAGCAAAAGCAAAUUUCAGCGGUUUCCAGUCCAGGACGGACGGGCGGAUGGACACACAGACAGACAAAUAUGGCGAAACUAUAAGGAUUCCUAGUUGACUACGAAAUACUAAAAUAAGCGCCAAAUUUGAAACAUGGGCGAAGGUUUAUUGUGCCAUAGAAAAUUUGAAUUAGGCGCCUUUUUUAAACGACAGUAUUUGCUUGGCCAUAAUUUUCUUUAAAUAAUUUUAUUAAUGUAAAUGUUGCAAAUAAUUGUGAAAAUAAAGUUAUCGAAUAAUAAUACUAAAGCCUGACCAGAAAUAUAUGACUAUUAUUGUCAAGAGGGCGCUGUUUAUUCUGAUGUAUGGGGUGACAUUGCAGUUUAGUAUGAAGAAUAGUUCUCAUAUUAUAUUUCUGGUCAAGCUCUCAGGCUUUAUCAAUCUAUGACUUUCGAGCCAAUUCAUCACUACUUUUAAAAAAUUUCGUAUCUCACGCUGUUCCUCAAAGUUAAAACGCAGUAAGUCUAUAUGCAUUCCAUACAUACUUACUACAAUUUUCUUUUCAUUGAUAGACGAAGAUAUGAGUUUUUUUUAAAGUAGUGACGAAUUAUUUAUGUCUCCUGAUUUUUAGGACGUGUCUUCUGAUUUUAUUCAAAUUGGACCUGGCAACACUGAAAUAAUGUCAGAAUCUUUUCUUUGACAUUAUUUACAAUUUAUAUUAUUAUACAUAAUUGGUGUUUUCACUAUUCUUAAGCUAAAAAAAAAACACCUGUUUGUCCUCCAAAGAAUACCUUAUUGGAUUCACAGGAUGAUUGAGGAUUUGAGGGAAGCAUGUUAAGACUGUGACAAUAUGGUCUUAAGGCAGCCGGCCUCAUUGAGAACAAGAAAAUACCCUGCUUUAUGUAGCGGUUGUUAUUUGUUAAUAUGACAUGUCUCGGCAGUGUAGUGACCCUGUGCUUAAUUAAGGCUUCAGGUUCAAAUCAUGGUAAACCAAAAUGAAAGCGGCCGGUUGAAAAAGUAGCAGAGUCGAAAAUGGAAAUUAAUGAGCUGCAGAAGUAAAUUUUAGAAGAAUAAUUCUCUUCUUCUUUGUUGUAUCCUUGUGGCUGAGGGACAUGACGAAUGAGGCCAUUCUUUACCAGUGUUCUUCACGCCACUCAAUCCUGGGCCCGGUGCAUGCUAGCCUGCAGUGGUCUUUGUCAGAGACGUUAUUGUGUCUGCCCAAUGUGUGCCCAUGCUGCCACUUCUUCACUUCCUUGCCGUGUCCUGUGAUUAUGGGAAGAAUAAUAUGCAAAUAAAAACCAACAAUGGGCCAUCGAAGAACAGGAGAGGGCAUGUGGGCCUUAGAGAAAGAGUUGUUAAUGUGAAGACUAAAUAAAUUCAACAAAUAAAAUCUCAACUAUAAUACUGUCUUUGGUACACCCGCUACCAUCGCGUCAAAUAGUGAAAGUGCAGUUCAGUGUAAGCAAAGACAGUGUACAAGAUAUACCACUCACCUAUGGCAUUAGUGUUACUAGACCACAUUAAUACAUAAAGACUAUUUUUCUAAACUUGUGUAUAGCUCUGUGUUGUCUUAAUAAAUCCUAUUGGAAACAC
rnacentral:lncRNA from 1 species